AUGAAUUGGACAGUCGUAGACAAGUUCCAAGAGCCAAUCCAAACAGAUAGCGCGUCAUGUGGAUUGUUUAUGUUAAAUUGUAUGGAGUAUUGGACUGGAGAUAUUUUGUCUGAUAAUUUCACUCAGGAGGACAUGAAAGAAUUUCGACGAAAAUUAGCUGUCAUAUUGUUGGAGACAGAACUUAAUAAGUUAAAAGGAAGUCCAAUAUAUUAUCGGACUGACAAUGAAGAAAAUGUAUCUGACAAUGAAGAAAAUGUAUUUGAUUCUGAUGUUGAGUUUCUGAAGGACCGAAAGCGUAAGCGGCAAGAUUCACAUGAUGGAGCCGAAGACAAAAGCCCCCUUCGGAACCCCAUCAUGGCCGCGGACCCGCAAGAUUUAGUUGAUGAACUAUGCAACCACAUCAUGUCAAUUAAUGAUGCUACUUCCUUGGAGAGUGGGUGCGAAGUUCUAAACCCCAUCCGAUAG
rnacentral:rRNA from 1 species